AAUAUGUUGACAUAUAGAAUUUGUUGAAUUCAUUCCGAUUUAACAGCAGUCCUAAUAAUACUGCGCCAAAAAACUAAAGCCUAGACGUUAGUUCAUCCCACUUUCUUUCUGAGAGGUCAUUCUCAUCAUGACUCGACUGAUCUGAGCGUGGUUAGCUUAGUUUUAUCGUGGUUCUCGUGUUUUCAAAAUGUUUAUUUAAAGUUGUAGAGUGUACACACAAACACACAACUCGACUACUCACAUCAACAAAUACAUGCAGUGCACGACGACUUUCAACAUAUUCAUUACUGUUCACUGUUCAUAUUACAAUUUUAGACAAUUUAGAACAAAAUACUGCGUAUUAAACUUGGCAUCGGCCCAUAGUUUUGUACUAACUACAAAAUGUCAGUCACAUGCGAAUUUUUACAACUGCCAAAUCGAUCCGAACAAGUAAAGACAGAAAAGAAGAAAAGCAUAACAGACAGCACUCGUGAUUUUGUCAACGACGCUAUAUUGAUCUGAUCGAAUCAAGUCAUCAGCCCGUAUAAAACAAAGAUUUAUCCCCCCAAACUACGAAAGUGCGAUUCAGCUAAAAUAAACAAAGACGUCAAAAUUACUUGGAACGAAUAAUCAAGAUCAUUGAUCAAGAUUGGAAAAUGCAUCAUACCGACUUAUGAUCUACUGGCCACAUUUUACCCUCGAAUGUGAAUUGCACAGAAUUGCACUUGUAAAAUAUAUUGGAAUGCAUAAAAGAGCUCAUAUUUUUUGUAACACAAGGAAAGUAAAUAAAUAUUUCACACAUGUUAUGCGUCUACGUCAACUAUGUGAGAAAAUCUGA